rnacentral:rRNA from 1 species
UAUUUCCCUAGACCGGCGCACGGGUGAGUAACGCGUAUGCAACCUGCCCUUUACAGGGGGAUAGCCCGGAGAAAUCCGGAUUAAUACCCCAUAGACCUGCAGUUCCGCAUGGGACAACAGGUAAAGCUUCGGCGGUAAAGGAUGGGCAUGCGUGACAUUAGCUAGUUGGCGGGGUAACGGCCCACCAAGGCUACGAUGUCUAGGGGUUCUGAGAGGAAGGUCCCCCACACUGGUACUGAGACACGGACCAGACUCCUACGGGAGGCAGCAGUGAGGAAUAUUGGUCAAUGGGCGAGAGCCUGAACCAGCCAUCCCGCGUGCAGGAAGAAGGCCCUAUGGGUUGUAAACUGCUUUUACGCAAGAAGAAUGGUACCCUCGUGAGGGUAUUUGACGGUACUGCGUGAAUAAGCACCGGCUAACUCCGUGCCAGCAGCCGCGGUAAUACGGAGGGUGCAAGCGUUAUCCGGAUUUAUUGGGUUUAAAGGGUGCGUAGGCGGUAUUAUAAGUCAGUGGUGAAAUGUUGCAGCUUAACUGUAAAAUUGCCAUUGAAACUGCAGUACUUGAGUUAUCUUGAAGUAGGCGGAAUGUGUAGUGUAGCGGUGAAAUGCUUAGAUAUUACACAGAACACCGAUUGCGAAGGCAGCUUACUAAGGGUAUACUGACGCUGAGGCACGAAAGCGUGGGGAUCGAACAGGAUUAGAUACCCUGGUAGUCCACGCCGUAGACGAUGAUAACUCGCUGUU